rnacentral:rRNA from 1 species
CCCUGUAGCGGGGGAUACCUCUCGAAAGAGAGGCUAAUACCGCAUACGCUCUACGGAGGAAAGCGGAGGACCGCAAGGCUUCGCACUAUAGGAGCGGCCCGAUGUCGGAUUAGCUAGUUGGCGGGGGUAAAGGCCCACCAAGGCGACGAUCCGUAGCUGGUCUGAGAGGACGACCAGCCACACUGGAACUGAGACACGGUCCAGACUCCUACGGGAGGCAGCAGUGGGGAAUUUUGGACAAUGGGGGCAACCCUGAUCCAGCCAUGCCGCGUGAGUGAAGAAGGCCUUCGGGUUGUAAAGCUCUUUCGGCGGGGACGAAACGGUCCGUGCUAACACCACGGACUACUGACGGUACCCGAAGAAGAAGCACCGGCUAACUACGUGCCAGCAGCCGCGGUAAUACGUAGGGUGCAGGCGUUAAUCGGAAUUACUGGGCGUAAAGCGUGCGUAGGCGGUUUGUUAAGACAGGUGUGAAAUCCCCGGGCUUAACCUGGGAACUGCGCUUGUUACUGGCAGACUUGAGUGUGGCAGAGGGGGGUGGAAUUCCACGUGUAGCAGUGAAAUGCGUAGAGAUGUGGAGGAACACCGAUGGCGAAGGCAGCCCCCUGUGAUGCACGAAAAGCGUGGGGGAGCAAACAGGAUUUAGAUACCCUGGUAGUCCACGCCCUAAACUAUGUCAACUGGUUGUCGGGGAAAGAAAUUCCUUGGUAACGAAGCUAACGCGUGAAAGUUGACCGCCUGGGGAGUACGGCCGCAAAGGUUAAAACUCAAAGGAAUUGACGGGGACCCGCACAAGCGGUGGAUUAUGUGGAUUAAUUCGAUGCAACGCGAAAAACCUUACCUACCCUUGACAUGUACGGAACCCUCCAGAGAUGGAGGGGUGCCCGAAAGGGAGCCGUAACACAGGUGCUGCAUGGCUGUCGUCAGCUCGUGUCGUGAGAUGUUGGGUUAAGUCCCGCAACGAGCGCAACCCUUGCCAUUAGUUGCUACAUUCAGUUGGGCACUCUAAUGGGACUGCCGGUGACAAACCGGAGGAAGGUGGGGAUGACGUCAAGUCCUCAUGGCCCUUAUGGGUAGGGCUUCACACGUAAUACAAUGGCCGGUACAGAGGGCUGCCAACCCGCGAGGGGGCGCAAAUCCCAGAAAGCCGGUCGUAGUCCGGAUUGCAGUCUGCAACUCGACUGCAUGAAGCCGGAAUCGCUAGUAAUCGCGGAUCAGCACGCCGCGGUGAAUACGUUCCCGGGUCUUGUACACACCGCCCG